rnacentral:lncRNA from 1 species
CCUGUUUUCUGAUAUUUUAUGUAAAAAUACUUUCGAUUUGUAUCAAAAUAUAAUAUAUAUACGUGAAUGAAAUAUUUUCAGUUUCCUUAUACAAUUUCAAGACCAUGGGCAAAGAUAAAUACCUCUACAUUUCAGGACUUAUAUAACCAGAAGAGAUCGACACUAACAAAUGUAAUUAUCCCCGGCUUAGUAUAUAUCUAGGAUUUUGAUUGGUUAACGCAUGUCGUUACAAAACCCAUAGCCCCUGGGUGUUGCUAACCCAUAUCCCCGGACGUUGCUAACCAUUAUCCCGUGGAACUUACCGCAAAUUUUCCUUAGUUCCAUGAUUGCUCCUUGUGAAAUAUUGAAUUCUGUAGAUUAUUCAUGAUGAUUGUAAUUAAAUAUUUAAUUCAUUAACGAUGUUGAUUGUCCUAUUAUGCCGAUCAUUUACACUCAUUUCAUUAAAUGCAUCACUUGACUGCCACAUUUUCAAGGAAAUUGGACUACUGAUCUAGCUAUGCAAAUGACCCACAUUGACG